rnacentral:sRNA from 1 species
UGCUGCAUCGGGAGGAGCAUCCCGGCCCUAGCUCAGCAAUCACAGAGAAUAUAUUUGGAAUGCUCUCGAAAACAAACAGCCUGAAAAACAGUAAAUCAAGAAGCCGGUCACAUAAAAUAUGAAGAACCAAUUAAGAGAAUUUCAGAAAAACAACAACUAAGAACUCCCAACCUGAUGGCAGCUCCCACUUUCUGGGCAUCUGGAAAACGCGUGGAAAGAUUCCAUCUACGGAUGCUUCCCGGGCUGCGUUUACAGCUGUCUCCUGCAUCUCUGAACGAAAUGGAAAUGACCUUUGAGAUGCUCUAAUCAUUCACCUGCCUGUUCAAGUAUGAAGUAGGAUUGAGGUGCAAGCAAGGACAGAGACUGUGUAAGCAUCUGUGGUCCUCCCCACACAGCUGGCAAAGCAGGCUUGAGUGGUAAGACAUAGUCUGCUGCCAAAACAACUCAUCCUCCUCCUUCGUUCCACUGUAUGAACUCCUGCUCCUCUCACAGUGGCAAAGAGGCCAGACAAGGGGUGUGUUGUGACUAGUCUGGUCUAGUCCAGGGCAAUUACAGAAUCUAGAAUCUCUUACA